rnacentral:tRNA from 1 species
GCCUGGGUGGCUCAGUCGGUUAAGCAUCUGACUUCGGCUCAGGUCAUGAUCUCACAGUCUGUGGGUUUGAGCCCCAUGUCAGGCU